GAUGAACGCUGGCGGCGUGCCUAAUACAUGCAAGUCGAGCGAAUGGAUUGAGAGCUUGCUCUUAUGAAGUUAGCGGCGGACGGGUGAGUAACACGUGGGUAACCUGCCCAUAAGACUGGGAUAACUCCGGGAAACCGGGGCUAAUACCGGAUAACAUUUUGAACCGCAUGGUUCGAAAUUGAAAGGCGGCUUCGGCUGUCACUUAUGGAUGGACCCGCGUCGCAUUAGCUAGUUGGUGAGGUAACGGCUCACCAAGGCAACGAUGCGUAGCCGACCUGAGAGGGUGAUCGGCCACACUGGGACUGAGACACGGCCCAGACUCCUACGGGAGGUAGCAGUAGGGAAUCUUCCGCAAUGGACGAAGGUCUGACGGAGCAACGCCGCGUGAGUGAUGAAGGCUUUCGGGUCGUAAAACUCUGUUGUUAGGGAAGAACAAGUGCUAGUUGAAUAAGCUGGCACCUUGACGGUACCUAACCAGAAAGCCACGGCUAACUACGUGCCAGCAGCCGCAGUAA
rnacentral:rRNA from 1 species